GGGCAGGGUGGGGCCGUGCAGCCCCACUGUGACAUGGGCUGAAGUCACAGUGGGGCACCGCACCCCACCCUGAUCCCUGCCCUGUCCACAGCUCCCAGCUCACACUUCCCCCAGAGGCGGAGGUGAACCCAGACGCGAGUUGCUGCUCUCGCCAGCGCUCUUCUCUCGGCAGCUGCUCUGCAGCAAAGAGGCGAAGGCAAAGGCAGGCAGUGCGAUAGUGCUGGGUCUGUUUGGAGACGUGCAGGAGCUUGGAGGAGUGCAGGAGCUUGGUGAUCACAAGCCCGACGCUCUUCAUCUAAGCCCACAAAGGGCCAACUGUUGGCAAAAUGCCUCAGAAGAGGAUCUUUUUGUCCCCAAGUUUUUUGCCCAAGGAUGAGGUGCCGGAAUUUCUACUGGCGGAUCUCGCUGAACAACAAGAGGCUCAAGAACGCCAGUUCCUUCGUGGCCACUUUCCACCCCUGCGGACGAGUGACCUCGACCUGCUGGCAGAAGAGGAGACUGCAGAGGUGUCUGUAAGUGUGCUGCCGCCUAUGGGAAAGAGCUGGGCACAGAGUCGCCUGGAGAUCGAGCGGGAGGGAGUGGUCAGGCUCCCUCCCCUGCGCGCACGGCUGGGAAGAUCACUGGCCAGGCAGCAGUUCAGAGCACCCCAAGUCCAGCAGCGCUUCCCCCCACUGAAGAACACCCCCAGAAGGGGGAGAAAGCGCAGCCAGGAAAAAUCUCCAGCAAGGAGACAAGCAAAGAGAUUGCUUCCCGCCUUCCUCGAGCAGAGAAUGGGAGGACAAUGGCCCCACCAGCAGAGAUAGCAGUGCCCACUGUCCAGUCACUACGGGCAAGACAGGUCCUGGGAACCUUGGAGUCCUACAAGGUGUGCCGGGAAGGAUGGAGGAAGAAGGUGGAGGAAAACAGGCUCCUUCCUGCCAGACCCAAGGAGCGCCUCUGCUUUGUGAAGAAGAUGGAGCUCCAGGAGGCCAGAGGAAAACACAAGAACAUGUGAGAGCACACCACGGGCUCACAGUUCAGCCAAUUCCUACCGCGCCCACUCACACCGUGGCAAUAAACAACGAAGCCCCAGGAUUGACAGCAGUGGGGCUGAGAGGAGGCACACUGAUACAGGAGCUGCCUCCCUUGUUACCACCAUUGUCUCUGCUGUAACAGCAAAGCAGAGCCAUUCUUAGUACAAGAAGUGCCAAAUAAACAUCCUUGGAACUUCUUUGAAGCUGGGGAGUCAUCUUUCUUUGUCUUACGGCGUGUUCUCCUGCAGGGCGUUGGAAAGGGCGGUCUGCUAGGUCCUGUGAGGAUAGUACUAAACUAGGAGGAACUGCUGACUCCCUGGAGGGAAGCUUGGCCUCGGAGAGAAAUCUUUACGGAUCAGAGAGCAUGGCAAUCUCCAACCACAUGAACUUGUAACAAGUGCCGGUGCUGAGUUCUUCCCCUAGGAUGGUGCAACCCUGGCUCUGUGUACAGACUGGGGGAUGAGAGGCUGGAGAGUGGCACCCCAGGAAGGGAUGUGGGGGCUCAGAUGACAGCAAGUCCCUUGGGUUCCAGAGCCCAGCGCAGAGGAGGUGGAAGGAAGGCCCCAUGGCAGUCUGCAGCUCCUUCCCAGGACAGCAGAGGGGCAGAGCUGAGCCAUCCUUUAGGAAAAUCUUCACUAACAUGGGUAUUUCAUGUGUUGUACCUUCUUCAAGAAUACCCAUCUAUCUGGCACAGAUCCUCCAUGGGCUAUAGAGGAUACCUGCACUGCCACACAUCACUUCCUCCAAUUAGGAUUUCUGGCCUCCUCUCUCCAUGUGGCAUUUUCUGCCCUCAAAUGUUUUCACAGAGGUAUUACCAGCUUCACAGCCAGGUUCAGCUGUUGGCUCGGGCUGUCCAUUGUGGAACCAGCUCAGGGCAAGCCCUAUGGACUACAGAAAACACCUUUGUAGCCCCUCACAACCAAAA
ensembl:lncRNA